AUUGAAUAUGAGGAAACAGGUGCUUCGGGUAACGUCGAAGCUUAAUAGGGAAGCCGGUUGGAAAUCCGGCGCGGUCCCGCCACUGUGACAGUUGAGGUAUUGCGAGAGAGCCACUGGUCGUAAUCGAUCGGGAAGGCUGCAAAGGCCAAUGAAGCUGAAGCCAGGAGACCUGCCUGUUUUGACAACACUGUU
rnacentral:ncRNA from 1 species